CGUGAGUAACCUGCCUUGGAGUGGGGAAUAACAGCUGGAAACAGCUGCUAAUACCGCAUAAUAUAUCUGGGUCGCAUGGCUCUGGAUAUCAAAGAUUUAUCGCUCUGAGAUGGACUCGCGUCUGAUUAGCUAGUUGGUGGGGCAACGGCCCACCAAGGCGACGAUCAGUAGCCGGACUGAGAGGUUGGCCGGCCACAUUGGGACUGAGACACGGCCCAGACUCCUACGGAAGGCAGCAG
rnacentral:rRNA from 1 species